rnacentral:rRNA from 1 species
AUUGAACGCUGGCGGCAUGCUUUACACAUGCAAGUCGAACGGUAACAGGUUAACCUGACGAGUGGCGCACGGGUGAGUAAUGCAUCGGAACGGGCCUGAUCGUGGGGGAUAACGCAGCGAAAGCUGCUCGACUACCGCAUACGAUCUGAGGAUGAAAGCGGCGGACCGCAAGGCCUCGCGGGAUGGGAGCGGCCGAUGUAGGAUUAGGUAGUUGGUGGGGUAAAGGCUCACCAAGCCGACGAUCUGUAGCUGGUCUGAGAGGACGACCAGCCACACUGUGACUGAGACACUGCCCAGACUCCUACGGGAGGCAGCAGUGGGGAGUUUUGGACAAUGGGCGAAAGCCUGAUCCAGCAAUGCCGCGUGCAGGAAGAAGGCCUUCGGGUUGUAAACUGCUUUUGUACGGAGCGAAAAGGCUCUCUCUAAUACAGGGGGCUCAUGACGGUACCGUAAGAAUAAGCACCGGCUAACUACGUGCCAGCCGCCGCCGUAAGAC